ACAUGAUCUCUAUUGGAGCUACAACUAUUCAAACCACCACAGUGAUUCACCCUUCAUGCAUACAAAGCAAGCCCUCUAUGACUAUGAUUGUACCCCUCAGCAGAUGAUUCUUCUGUAUAGACAUAUAUCACCAUAAAACCAGGUUUUCUUCACUAAUGUAAGUUCUAUGAAAAGUUUAUAAUGCUCCUUAUACAUACAGUAUUGUGCUAAACUUAUAAAUCAUACAGUAUAUACAUUCAGUGAAAAGCUUUGGAACAAUAUUUAAAAUACAUAGAACUUUGUGUUUUAUUUGUAUAAAACACUAGGAUAAGCACCUGAGAGAAAGUAUUUCAUCAAGAGGCUCCUAGUGUUUGCUUAUAGUUGAGUGAAAAGCUGUUGUGUAUAUGCACUUCAAAGUGUGCAAGCCAUUCAAGAACAUAUUUUAAAUAUUUUUCUUAGGUAGGGUUACUAUGAUGAGACAACAUGACCAAAGGUAAAUUGUGGAGGAAAGUUUAUUUGGCUUACACUUUUGUGGGGGUCCCUACAAACAUGAGACUAGCCAUCCAUGUGAGGCAAGGAGAUCCAGUUCAACAUGAUUCAGCGAGUCUGUGUUGGUCCAAACUUGAAUCUGACACCAGGCAGUUUAUUUCGGUCAUCUCUAAGUACAACAUUGGAAAAAAGUUUCCUGGUGAAUGUGGGCCUCAGCUUUUAGUCCACUGUGCAAAUUGAAUAGAUUGCAAUCAUUAGUCAUUAUGUUUGCUCCCUUGACAGCAGCACUUGGUUACCUGACUUAGAACAAUUUCUAAGUUAAAGAAUAAAAGUUCUAAGUUUAAGACAGAAGUUUAACUGUACCAACAAAGCUAUGGUGAACCUUCAGGUCCAGAAAGAAAACCCCAGGGGGUAUGUGCUUCAGCAUAGAUGAUCUCGGAGGUAGCAUCAUGAUGGAUGCUUCUGGUCACAAAGUUCCCUGAGAUGGGGCUCACAUUAAAUACAAUGAAGGGACUUGAGACAACGGGAGACCUCUGAACAAAAAAAAAAAAAAAA
rnacentral:lncRNA from 1 species